AGAGUUUGAUUAUGGCUCAGGACGAACGCUGGCGGCGUGCUUAACACAUGCAAGUCGAACGGAGCGCCAUGGAAUGAGGUUUCGGCCAAAGGAAAUGGUUGCUUAGUGGCGGACUGGUGAGUAACGCGUGAGGAACCUGCCUUUCAGAGGGGGACAACAGUUGGAAACGACUGCUAAUACCGCAUGACGCAUUUAGGGGGCAUCCCUUGAAUGCCAAAGAUUUAUCGCUGAAAGAUGGCCUCGCGUCCGAUUAGAUAGUUGGCGGGGUAACGGCCCACCAAGUCGACGAUCGGUAGCCGGACUGAGAGGUUGGCCGGCCACAUUGGGACUGAGAUACGGCCCAG
rnacentral:rRNA from 1 species